UCCCUAGUGGCUUAGACGGUAAAGAAUCUGCCUGCAAUGCAGGAGACCCUGGCUGGGGAA
rfam:Ovis aries breed Texel chromosome 2, whole genome shotgun sequence.